GACGAACGCUGGCGGCGUGCUUAACACAUGCAAGUCGAACGGAAAGGCCCUGCUUUUGUGGGGUGCUCGAGUGGCGAACGGGUGAGUAACACGUGAGUAACCUGCCCUUGACUUUGGGAUAACUUCAGGAAACUGGGGCUAAUACCGGCUAGGAGCUCCUGCUGCAUGGUGGGGGUUGGAAAGUUUCGGCGGUUGGGGAUGGACGCGCGGCUUAUCAGCUUGUUGGUGGGGUAGUGGCUUACCAAGGCUUUGGCGGGUAGCCGGCCUGAGAGGGUGACCGGCCACAUUGGGACUGCGAUACGGCCCAGACUCCUACGGGAGGCAGCAGUGGGGAAUAUUGCACAAUGGGCGGAAGCCUGAUGCAGCAACGCCGCGUGUGGGAUGACGGCCUUCGGGUUGUAAACCGCUUUCGCCUGUGACGAAGCGUGAGUGACGGUAAUGGGUAAAGAAGCACCGGCUAACUACGUG
rnacentral:rRNA from 1 species